GGGUAAUGGUAUAGUUGGUAGCACAUCUGACUAACACUCAGGAGGCUCAUGUUCUAAUCCUGCUCUUCA